rnacentral:rRNA from 1 species
UACGAAGGGGGCUAGCGUUGCUCGGAAUCACUGGGCGUAAAGCGCACGUAGGUGGAUCGCUAAGUCAGGGGUGAAAUCCUGGAGCUCAACUCCAGAACUGCCUUUGAUACUGGCAAUCUCGAGUCCGGGAGAGGUGAGUGGAACUGCGAAGUGUAGAGGUGAAAUUCGUAGAUAUUCGCAAGAACACCAGUGGCGAAGGCGGCUCACUGGCCCGGUACUGACGCUGAGGUGGCGAAAGCGUGGGGAGCAAACAGG